UUUAUUAAACAUAAAGGAAACAAGAUAAUAUAAAUCUGUGAAAGCCGUCUUCUCUCGUCUUUCUUGCUCCUCCUCGUCGGUCAUCGGUCUCCCACUUUUCUUUUUAUUUUUAUCUUUUAUUUGUCUUCAAACAAUCUCCUGAGAAAAUCGGUAUUCUUUGGAUCCCACUCCACUCGGCUUAAUCGGAAAAGAGAAGAAUGGAGCAUGUCAUCGGCGGCAAAUUCAAGUUGAGUAGGAAGAUCGGUAGUGGUUCCUUCGGUGAAAUUUAUAUAGGGAGUAAUGUCCAAACGGGAGAAGAAGUUGCUGUUAAGCUGGAACCGGUGAAAACAAAGCAUCCUCAACUACACUAUGAAUCAAAAGUAUACAUGCUUCUUCAAGGAGGGAGUGGUAUUCCUCAUCUCAAAUGGUACGGUGUGGAGGGUGAAUACAACUGCAUGGCAAUUGACCUUCUUGGUCCCAGCUUAGAGGACUUGUUCAACUACUGCACUCGCUCUUUUUCCUUGAAAACUGUUCUUAUGCUUGCUGAUCAGUUAAUAAACAGAGUUGAAUACAUGCACAUUAGAGGAUUUCUUCACCGUGACAUUAAACCAGACAACUUUUUGAUGGGUCUCGGUCGCAAAGCAAACCAGGUGUAUAUCAUCGAUUAUGGGCUUGCUAAAAAGUAUAGAGAUCUUCAGACACAUAAGCAUAUACCAUACAGGGAGAAUAAGAAUCUAACAGGAACUGCUCGAUAUGCAAGUGUCAAUACACACCUUGGGAUUGAGCAAAGUAGAAGAGAUGACCUUGAGUCGCUUGGUUACGUGCUCAUGUAUUUUCUACGAGGAAGUCUACCAUGGCAAGGUCUGAAAGCUGGUACCAAGAAACAGAAGUAUGACAAGAUUAGUGAAAGGAAGAUGCUUACUCCUGUUGAGCUUCUUUGCAAGUCAUUUCCCUCGGAGUUCACAUCCUAUUUCCAUUACUGCCGAUCAUUGAGGUUUGAGGACAAACCAGAUUAUUCAUAUUUGAAAAGACUCUUCAGGGACCUUUUCAUUCGGGAAGGUUAUCAGUUCGACUAUGUGUUUGAUUGGACAAUCUUGAAAUAUCCUCAGAUGGGCUCUAGUUCGAGAUCAAAGCCAAAUCCAAAAGCAGCUCUAGACACUCCAGGACCAUCCGCAGAAAAAGGUGAAAUGCCUUCAGAGGGGAAGGAUCUGCGAGAAAGAUUCUCAGGUGCGGUUGAAGCGUUUGCCAGACGAAACGUAUGGAGUCCUGGGAUUCGCUCUUCCAAAGAAGUGCUCGUGUCUGAGAAAACAAGAAAUGAGAGUGCAAGGGCGGUGAUGUCAAGCAGCCGACCUGGAUCAUCAGGUGAGCUGAGCGAGAACCGCUCAAGUAAACUGUUUUCAAGCGGUACCCAAAAGAUUCAACCGGGCCAAGAAUCUAAGCCAACCGCAAGGCUUGGGCGUAAUGAUGACGCCCUGAGAAGCUUUGAUUUGCUUACUAUCGGUUCCGGAAAGAGGAAAUGAGUGGAGUUUGGAAGAUAUGUGUACCCCUCCUGAAUAUGGGAAGAAGAUGAGAGAAAAGAAUCUCUCUCCCUCUUUAUGUAUUUAUAUAAUAUAUGUUCGUAGAACAUCUAUAAAGUUGUGUAUAUGUAACUUGUAAGUUGUAUGUAACAAGUAUUUUAUUUUAAUGUAUUAAAUAAUGUCAUUUGGUCAAAUACUCGGAGCCUAUUAAUACUUUGUUAACUUC